CGCGGGCUAGCUCAAUCCGGUAGAGCGCCAGGCUCAUAACCUGGAGGUUUCGGGUUCAAAUCCCGAGUUCCGCAACCA
rnacentral:tRNA from 2 species